AGUCUCAAAGCAGAGACCUGGGGUCUGCUUGCAGACUGGCAGGGCUGUGCUUUAGAGACGCUAAACCGUAUGAGCAAGAAGGCCGACAGGCCGGAUUGGGAAUACGGUUUAGGAUUGCGGGAGUGCAAGGCACGAAGCAAUCCGUGGGC
rnacentral:sRNA from 1 species